UUAUGAUGGUGGUGAUGAUGAUGGUGGUGGUGGUGAUGCUGAUAUGAUGGUUGUGGUGAUGAACAUAACAAAAUCAUCUUCAUCAUCACCACCACCACCAUCAUCAUCUAAGGUA
rnacentral:pre_miRNA from 1 species